rnacentral:lncRNA from 1 species
UUUUCUAGCGUUUCGCGUCAUAAAUUUCCUCUUUUCCUAGGCGCUCCAUGUUUUCUAGACUUUGAAUUUAUUUUCAUGUUUUUGUAAAUAAAAAAUAAUAUUUAUUGUUAGCUAAAAAGCAAGCUAUGAGGGGUGAAAUAGGUUUUUUUAUUCUUAAUGACCAAUUAAAAAUUGAUUAGCAAAACAAAUCUAAUAUGCAAGGAUAUAUAUAUAUAUACACACACACAUAUACCCUUGCAUAUUAGAUUUAGGAGUGCAAACAAUUUAUAAUGGUUCAACUAAUCCAUGCCUACACCCACUUCUAAGUCUUUAUUGAGAUUCCGCUAUUUUCAAACUUGCGGGUACUUGAAAAACAUUUACAUCUACUAGAAUACUUCUAGUUUUCAAAAGAAUACCCUUUCUUGGAAUACAAUCAAUCAAUCACUCAAGGCGAUCCUCUCAAAAUGAAUAAAUGUUAUAGCAAUUAAAGUUCACAAUCUCUAGAUGAAAGAUGAAUACAAAGAAAACUCUCUUUAGAGUGAUUUUUCUCUUUUGAUCUUGCAAAUCAAGCUCACAAUAAAUAAUCAAAUGAUUAAAAUAUUGAAUACAAGUGUAAAAAGAAUUUAUGACACUUCAAUAUCAUUCUAACACCCCCAAAUGUUGAUUUUAUAGCUCUAAGAUGAAAAUCUAUAAUAUAAAACACAAUUUAUUUUGAAUUUUAAAUCUGUCUCCCGCUAUCUACAGUUGAAAUCCAAUUGAAUUAAUCCAAUGGCUGAGAUUUCACCUGAAAUUAUUUUUUUUCUCCCAAAAAUAUUACUUUAUUCUUCUCAAAAGUGUAACACAUGUUCUUAUCUAAUGGUCAAAAAUCUCUAAAUCUAAACAUAUUUUUUAUUCAUUGGAUCAAAUUUUUAGUGGGAUCCACACAAAAAAACUAAAACACCCAUUUAUUUUUACUCAUUUCUCUUAAACUAGCAACACUUUUUAAAAAUUAUUAUAUUUUCUAAUUUAUUUUUUAUUUUGUAGCAAUAAAUCUCUUCAUAUAUCUAUGCAAUGUAUCUCAUAUCUGACGUUUAUAUUUUAUCUAUUUUUUAGGUUAUAAAACUCUAACGAAUACGUGUAAGAUGUGGUUUUUGGGGGAGGGCAUAGUGUCCAUAAACACGGACAAUUACUAAUUAUAUAAUAAAACCAAAUAAAUAGAAAUUAUUUCCGUAAAUUUUUUCCAAAUAAUUAUAUUCACCUGAGUAGGUCAGAGUGCAGCUGUACUUGUACAGAGAGAUCACACCCACUGUUUUUGGUCCAGUUCCUAUUUAUUGGGCUAUGGGGCCGAUAACCCAUGCAAUCCAUUCAAUGCGCAAUGGUGCCCAUAACCCAUGCAUAUUCCCUACCGUUGCUUCCACAUGGAGCCUGAUAAAUAAAUUUAAUUUUUUUUUAUGGAUGAUCUACGCUCAUAAUCAAUGAAGUCAGUUUGUGUUGAGCCCCACAAAAUUGAACAGUAUGCUGCAAUCCACAUAGAAGUCAUUUUCUAUUUGUUUAUAUAUUAUUCAUAAAGGACACGAAGAAGUUAAUGAAUCUAAUGAUUUAGAGUUAGUUUUUUUCUCUAUAAAUUUCUCUCUUCAACUCUAAUCUAAAUACAACUCUUUUUUACUGUUAGCAUAAAGUUAUAAUCGAUUUAGAUGAAUGGACUUAUAUAUGUUAAAUUAUGUUUAAAUACUAGUUGAAAAUCGCUUUAAAGACUUAAUUAAAAGUCAAACAAACUUAUACGUGAUAAAUAUGCAACAAUCAUUUGUUUAAACUCAGAACAGCGUCAUACAAGUUUGUUUUGAAAUCAUACACGCAUGCAUAUUUUAAAAAUGUGAUUUAUAAUCGAAUUGAAUCAAAUAACUUGCUCACAUUUUAAGAAAAACUCAUUUAAACUUAGAAGAGUCAAUACAUGUUCAAAUUACAAUACGUGAGUUCUCACAAGUUAUAAUCAACGAUAAUGCUAAUGAGACUUGUAGAAGUAUCAAACUAUUGCUUAAACUCAUUUUAAAUAGUUAGCAGUUUCGAAUUUUGAAGAAAAUAGGAAAACUGAUGUAACUGCUGUAUUUGUCACAAGUUCGAUCAAUCGAACUUGUCAUUCGAAGAUAAAAGAGUUUGACCAAAAUGUAAUUAGAAAGUUUGAACCACAAUCAAAGUUUCUGGAGCCAUGAACGAAAGUUGAUUAGAGGUAUUAUUUGGGCACUACCGAAGUUAAGUUCGGUCAACCGAACUUGGGAAGAACCUCGACCGAACAUUGAUCAGAGACUUUGAGCCUCGACCAAAGUGAAGUUUGGUCGAAUAAAGUUGUUGAUAAAAGUUUGAAUUUUUGAUCUUGAGCGUCUAGAUCUAAUAUCCAACGACUGAGAUUAAAUCAGAUAGCUAGUUCAGAGUAUUUAAUGCUGAAACGGUUAAUUUUCAACUAAAAAGCUAUAAAAUUCAACCCAUGGGGUUGUUGGGAAGAUAUUGAAGUGCCAUAAAUUCUAUCUACGCUUGUAUUUAAUACUUCAAUCGCUUGAUCAUUGUACGAAAGAGAAAAAUUACUCUAGAGUUAACUUUCAUUGUAUUCAUCUCAUCUAUAGGCUGUGAGCUUUAUUUACUAUAACAUUUAUUCAUUUUGAAAGGAUCACCUCGAGUGAUUGAUAUUAUUCCAAUAUAGGGCAUUUUUUUAAAGACUAGAGAAACUCUAAUGGAUGUAAAGAUUUUUUUAACUACCCGCAAACUUGUAGAUAGUGAAAUCUCAACCUAAGGAAGACUUGGAGAUUGGACGUAGGCAGGGAUUAGUAGAAUCACUAUAAAUUGUUUGCACUCUCUUCUCUUUAUUGGUUAUACAUAUCUUUGAGUACAUAUUAGAUUUAUUGCUAAUCAAAUCUUAAUUGACCAUUAAGAAUAGUAAACAUAUUUCAUCUCUUCAUAAUUUCGCUUUUUAACUAACAUUUAUGUUAAAUUGAUUAAUACGUUAGAUUACUUUAUGACAUUGAAUACUUGUCUAUUUACUCAAUCCUUGUGAACGCCAAAAAGUUUAACCACUGCAACUAGUCUCAAGUCUAAUUCAAAUACAGUAUUAAUAGCCUAUAAUAUUAUAAAAGCAAAACCUAAAGAGCUUAUCAGUAAGAAACUUCAUAAUGUAUAGAAUCUUCACGACUCAUGUGAUGCUGAAAUCAAAUCGAACCGUCAAUUCUCGAUACCCACUGGUUGGUUUCGGUCCACGGAUUUACUAAAGUUUGAUUUUGAUUUUGGUCUGGAAAAAAAAAUAUUCGACUGGACCAGACCAAUACAUAUUUAUAUAUAUUAGUAUUAAUAUAUAUUAAUAUAUAGAGUACAUUUGAUCUCGAACAUUUAUUGAGAUCAUAAUUUAACCGUCCAUUUUUAACAUAUAAAUAUAAAAAAUCUUAAUCUCGUUCUUACAUAAACCUAUUUGGACCAAUCGAACUGAAGUGGACCGAAACCGACCAAUUCAAUACAAAUUUUGAUCAACUUCAGUCCAUUAAUAUAUCGAACCUAUUUGGACCAACCGAACCAAAUGUGGACACUUUUAUAAAUGAACUCUGUAAUGCAAUCAUUAACCAUAUUUGAGUCAUUUGACUUUGACUUAUAUAAUUUGGUUUCAAUAUUUGUACUUUAACUUUUAUUUUUGAUCAUGGGUGAAUUCGCAAAUUAAAUGAAGGAUACUUCAUAUUGAUAUCCAUUAAGAAAGGAAAAUCUCCUGAAAAAAUGGUUCCACAAGUUAAAUCAGGUUAUUAAUCAAGCAUCGCGCUUGAGUAACACGAUCAAGCUAAGCAUGAGCUUAAUUAGUUGGAAAAUUAAUAAGCUUUAAUAUUGUUCAAAUAUGAUUUAACUUGUGGAAAAAAUAUAUAAUGACAUGAUACUGAAAAUUUUAUUUUCAUAUUUUCUAAACUUUAGCUUCGAGAAUUUAUUUCAUUUUUUAUUAAAUUUUAUUUUCAUGUUUUCUAGAUUUUUGCAUGGUUAAUGAAUCCCAACCAUCGUGCUACUUGUUCUUGACUCUCAUUAAUAAGGCAAUUGUUUUAUUCAGAGCAGAAACAGGAUAAGGGAAAUAGAUUAUUAAAUUCCAAUGAAUAACUCAUGGCCAGAAUUAUUGUGAUGGGUGACUGUGAUUUUUUUUCGCGAAACAUGUAUAUUCACCGGAUCAUGUGAGAUAGCAAUAGAACAUGGUGUUAUUAUUGUUGGAUACGGUAUAGAAAGAGGUAUAGACUAUUAGAUAGUAAAAAACUUGUGAGGUACAAUUUGGAAAGAGAGUGUCUAUACGAGGAUCUUGCGUAACGUCGAAAUUGACGGAAUAUAUGAAAUUACAAGAAUGGCGUCUUACCCGUCAAGGACGGCCCGAAUCCCUCAAACGCCACUCGUCUCUUAUAAAUCCUCUGAGCUUCUCAAUGGUAAAAACUAUACUUUCUUAUCUCUCUUUGGAAUUGUUUUUAUUUUUUUUCCUAACAGGAAUUAGAAAUCGAAAAUCAUAUAAAUUCUAGAAAGAUUGAGUUUUAAUUUGUUUACAUUCUUCGAUGUGACGGAGCAAAAACAAUCCAUCAAGAGUGAAUGAUGCAUAAAGGAGCAGUGCUUAGGAAAGCUUUAGAUGUGAUAAGGAAAGCAUAGAGAGAAUGGACCAAAUAAUGCUUCAUAUUUAUGGUGCAUAUAAACAAUAAAGUCUUUGUUUUGCAAUUAGCUAGUGAAAUUCGUGUAAUUAAAUAAAGGUGGCUUUAGGGGAUUGGUUUGUCCUCCAAAUUCUAUCAAUACUUUUAUGUGAUAAUAAUAGUAUUGUGUCCUCUUGUGACCGCCAUGCUUGUUCAGCCUGCGAGCCCAGCCUGUUUGACUCGGAUUUCGGGUCCAACUCGGCCUGGCCUGGCUUGGUUUGCCUAAUCAAACAGAAAAUUUUUAAAAUUUUGGGCAAAUUCGGUCGGGCGACUUAAAAUGUACAGAAAUUUCGGGCAAAGCCCGCCUGCCCAAAAUCAAACCAAAAAUCCCAAAAAAAAAGUCAAAAAAAAAAAACGAAUUGAUUCGUGUCGGUCCUAACCUGCCCAUCAGGUAGGCUGGUCCCAUGAGUCCGACUAGAUAGAGCUUUCGAAUUUUGGGUUGGGCCAAGUCCGACCCGCCAUAUGUGUGAAUUGGGCUCAACCCUGACCGACCACGCUCAGGCUCAUGAGUAAAUCCGCACCAAUCUAGCCCAAUUUGCACCCUACCUUGCCCCCUUCUCUCUCUCCUAUUUUUUUCCCACCUGCAAACCCACUUCUCUCUCUCCUCUCUUUACUCUUUUUUCCCCCACUGCAAAGUGCAAACCCGCUUUUAAUUCUCUCCCUCUCCCUCUCCCUCUCCUUCUCCCCUCUUAUUCAUCUUCUUUCCAUUCUUUGGGACCGAUGGGGGAGAGCUCUAGACCCUCAGUAAGAUGCAUCUCCUUCUUCUUUUCUCAUGUGGAAAAUCAUAUGGAUAACCCAUCUCUCUCUCUCUCUCAUAGCAGUAAUAGAUUUUAGCUAUUUAAAAGAAAUCGAAAACUUAACCCAUUUUAUUUUUCCAAUUAAUUCCAUCUAUUUCCAUGUUUGAUGUUCAUGUUGCACAUCGCCCCUUCAUGUGUUAGACAAAAAGAUUAACAACAAUAUAGAUGUUGGGGGAGAAUUCUGGCAGAGUAUUCGCUUCAAUAGUCCGCAUGUGCACUCACGUAAAGCUCUAUUUAAGAGAAGACAAUAAUUACAAAUGGGGUUAAUAGAUUCCACUAAAAAAAAUUAUAUUAUUUUUUAUAAUAUAAUUUAUUAUAAAUACAGUUUUGACUCUACAAAAAAUUAAUAAUUUAUUUUAAAUUUUAUAAUUUUGAUCUCGUUGAAUAUAAGUUCUGAUAAUUUUGACUUUGUUUAAUAUAAAUUUUGAUAAUUUUGAUUCCAUUAAAUAUAAGUUAUGCCUCCGUCCCUGACUACCAGCAUUAUGAUUUGUGAUUGUGACUUUUGUCGGAAAACACGAAACUACCUCUUUUUUAGUUAAAACACACGUUUAUCUCGUAAAUUAUCACCACCAGAUUGCUUAUUAUGUCCUUAAAGUAUUUAUUUUAGGAAAAUGAUUUCUACACUCCAAAAAAUGAUAUCUACACUCCAAAAUAGGAGUGUAGAUAUCAAAAAAUGAAGUAUAGAAAUAAAUUUCCUUAUUUUAUCUAUCAUGUCUUUCAAUAAUCCGAUUUCAGCGUAUGUUGUCCAAUUAAAGAUAGAUAUUUAAAUAGAAGACGGAAAAAAUGGCUUAAGCAUGAAAUGUGAGUUGUGCCAGGGACUAAAACGACAUUUCACUUGGUUCAAUCAUUUCACAACUAGUGAAUGGCGGAAAUUGGAUCGUUGAAGGACAUGAUAAUUUGAUAAUUACCGUUUUGCAUUCGAUCGAAAUUUUAUAUAUAUUUUUAAUUUUUAUUAAUGAGAGAAAAUUAAAAAUAUAAAGAAUGUCAUCCAAAUUUACUCAAUAAAUUAGCUAUUUUUUAUUUUUAUUAAUUUUUUUAAAAUUUAAAUAAUGCUUUAAUAUUUUUAUAUUGAGAAACCGAUCAAAAGAUUAAAAAUUCACUAGAAAAAAAAAUAACUAUUAAAAAAUAUUAAAAAAAUAGUCAAAACUAGAGAAAAGUAGAAAGGAUAAUUUAGUAAGUUUGCAUAAUAAAAACCAAAAUAAAAUAUUCUUAAGCUGUAUUUGGAUAAGAAUUUAAAGAGAGAUUUGAGAGAAAAAAUAUUAAAUCUGAACCAUUAAGUUUUUUUUAUUUUACCAAAUCUUUCGUUCAAACACGACCUUAAAAAAAUAAAGAAAAUUGUGAAAAUCAUUUUCCCAAAAUAGAAUAUGGCCCAUGAGGCUGCAUGAAGUAUUCUUCCAUGGGGUAAGGCCACUCCUAUGCCUAUAUAAAGGCCACUCCCUGCCUCCACUUUCACGCACCUCCACUCUAUCCCUCUCUUCCAAAAUUAAAAUGGGUUUGCCCAUAUCCUUCAUCUCAAUAUCCCUCCUCUUCUUCUCCACACUCCUCGUACUCUCAUCGGCAUUCAAUGCCGAAAACUCAGCCCAGAGAACAAACGAAGAAGUCAUGGCCGUGUACGAGUCGUGGCUCGUCAAGUAUGGCAAGUCCUACAACUCGAUCGGCGAGAACGAAAUGAGAUUUGAGAUUUUCAAGGAGAAUUUGAGGUUCAUCGACGAGCACAACGCGGACUCGAACCGAAGUUUUACGGUGGGCCUGAACCAAUUCGCUGACCUGACUGAUCAGGAGUAUUGGUCCACUUGGGGUUUAAAAGCAGUUCGAAGCCGAAGAUGAGCGACCGGUACGAGCCUCGAGUUGGCGAGGUAUUACCCGAUUCUAUUGAUUGGAGGGAAAAAGGGGCGGUCACUGGCGUUAAAAAUCAGGGCCUCUGUGGUAUGUCUGAUUAUCUCUCUAUCUCUCAUUUGUUGUUAUACGUAAUUUCUGAACAAUAGUCUAAUCUGAAUUGAAUGAUUGGAUUGUAGGGAGUUGUUGGGCUUUUUCGGCCAUUGCCGCGGUGGAAGGAUCAACCA